rnacentral:lncRNA from 1 species
AGUUUUUAAAAGUAUUACUAGAUUCAUAAAUUCUCAAGGAUUUAACAAAAGUUAAAAUUUUUAGAAAAUAUGCAUAAAUGGAAAAAGUUUACUUAUUUAGAAAUCAUCCACUCACCGAGUUAUAAACUCAUAUAUUUUUAUCAUGCUUUCCUAUCAGGAGACCGUCGAUUUUGAGACACUGGGAAAAGCCUGCUGAAGCGAAAGAGACCGUUUCAUAGUAUGUAAUAUAUAGUUGGGGAACUCAUGUUUAUUAAGUACUUGUCUAAUAUUUGGUGUGUCAUGAACUUCGUAGAAAGGUUGGUAAUUGAUGUAAUGCUUGCAUGUUGACAUGAUGAUGUUGUAGAAGCACUCAGUCGAAUGUUGUUAUAUUUUGUUGUAGUUGUGGUGGUAUUAAAGGAAGUGGUGGUUUCCAAAACUUUUGGUUUAAAUAUCUAUUUGAGAUUUUGAUGAUUUUUCAGGUUGGUUUUGUCCAUGUUACAGGGGAAACUCUGUCAAAAUUUUUAUAGACU